CAGCCGUACUUCCUGGACAGCCUGCAGAACCACAACAAACCAAACAAUAGGGCAAGCUCUGGUUUGUAGUGUCUGCUGAUUCCUGUGGUGUGAAUACUCCCACCAUGGCCAAUAUCAAGCUGCCAACAUGGUGUCACUAUAUGCAGACUUGGGAAGAGAUGCCUGCUAGCACAUCAUGGUACAGAAUCUCCACUCUGCGGAUAUAAUAGGUGCAAACCCCAAGAGCAGAGCAGAGCAAACAGCAAAAUAAUUAAGGAGUGAUAUGUUUUGAAUAUUCAUUAUCUUUGUUUUCAAUAAAAUUUAUUUAAUUGUAGGCUU